UAAAUAUUAGUUAAUUACUAACAUUAUAUAGAAAUCUGGCAUAGUUAUAAUUGCUGGAUUUGAGCAAAUGGGGAUCAUGAAAGGACUGACAACCUGCAAGUCUUAAGGAGUAAAACUAUUGUCAGUAUCAGCUUUUUUAACCUUUUGAGUAAUUCUCUUAGUAAAUUAUUCUCCACAUCUAGUCUAAUUUCUUUAAUUUUGCAGUUUUUUUCAUUUUAUUUCUCCAUGAGUAAUGGGCAGAUGUGAAAUAACUCUUCCCAAACUAAAAUAAUUCCUAUCAGCUAAUCUUUGUUAUCACAAGAUACACUAUUUUUGCCCAUGAAUUUAGUAACCAUUUUUAACAUAGUCAGUCAUUUCAGAUUUGUUAGCUGUAAGGAAAAUUGUGCCACAUAUUGUUCCACUACCUUUCUUCCCUUUAAUCUCCUCCCUUGAGUCAUAGAGCAGUGUUUACUUUAGCAGUAUUUGUCUUAAUAAGUAAUUUAGUGUCCCUCAUAACUGUCAGCCUUAGUUUCACUUUAGUUUUUCUAAUUUUAAUAUCUCCUUGCUAGGAAUUUUUUAAAUUUAUCACAUACUUGUUAAUGUAUAACAAUGUAUAAUUUAUAAACUUCAAUUUAAAUGUAAUGAUAAUCUCAUUGUGGCAGACAGUUGCCUACCUGAAUGCUUUAUCUCCUUCUUCCUUGUAUCCUUUAUUAUUCAGGAAAAAGCAUAGAUCCCUGUUCCUUCAGGAGGUUAGAUCCUUAUCCGUUAUCCCAGCCCCAGGGAAAGUAUCGUGAUUGAUCUAAAACUGAAAUAGUUUUGUUCCUUGUAGUCUGCGAUAUGCAAGGCAGAACUUUUUGCAUUGAAGGAGAUACUCCAUGUUUGUGCCACCAUAUUGGAAAGUGCAGAUAUCCAAAGUGUGGGGCCUGUUACCUAAUUAGGGUUGAUGAAAUGAACAGAAGCCUAUUGGGAAGAGCCUUGAUUUCAGAUGAAAAAGUCAUAAAGGUUUAUAAGCUGAGGCUUUCUGCCUCUUCUGACCAUGAAUACCAACAAAAGGCCCGGAGGUAUAAUAGCCAUCUUAUACCAUGAAAUAACAAAUAUGAAAAUGAAAGCUGCAUAUCAAAGAUGGUUCCAUAGAAAGAUUAGGGGGACUGGGUCCCUGAUGGCAUUAUUGAACACCUGAACCCACAAGAACAAUUGCCAGCUUCUGCACUAACUAACUGAAAAGAAAAAAAUAAACAAAAAACUCUUGAUUGCUAAAUUAUUGUU
rnacentral:lncRNA from 1 species